CUUGAACAAAACUCUCUUUAUGAGGACUCCAAGCAUCCAAAAGCUUUGCAGAACUGCUGGGAUCCUGCAGCACAUGCUGGCCUUUAAUUACAUCCCCCAGACAGGAGAAUUUAUUAGCAGAAUAUCCUCACAGAGAGACCUCCCUGUGAGGGGUUCCAUGAGCCAUGGGGAUGGAAACCACGUCCUGAUGGAGAUGGAGUUCCCUGCUCCAUUUGCCUCUUGCUUGGAUGCUUUCCUGGGCUUCCACAGGUGGGGAAAUGCAGGGCAGCCCUCCCGGCUUCCCGGGAAAGCGGCGACGGACAUUGAUUUAUGAUCAAAAGGGAAAAGCAAAGCAGAAUAAAAGGAAUACUUAAGGCUUAAAAAACA
rnacentral:lncRNA from 1 species